CAGCAGACACAUUCCAGCCAAUCAGCAGCAGACUUUCCCUCCCAGAUCCUCCCACCUCCUGGACAGCAUCCAUUUUGAAGCUGCAUUCUUAGUGAGCUGUCCAGGAGGUGGGAGGGUCUGGGAGGGAGGGUCUGCUGCUGAUUGGCUGGAAUGUGUCUACUG